CGUAGGGUGCAAGCGUUAAUCGGAAUUACUGGGCGUAAAGCGUGCGCAGGCGGUCCGCUAAGACAGAUGUGAAAUCCCCGGGCUUAACCUGGGGAACUGCAUUUGUGACUGGCGGGCUAGAGUAUGGCAGAGGGGGGUAGAAUUCCACGUGUAGCAGUGAAAUGCGUAGAGAUGUGGAGGAAUACCGAUGGCGAAGGCAGCCCCCUGGGGCCAAAUACUGACGCUCAUGCACGAAAAGCGUGGGGAGCAAAACAGGAUU
rnacentral:rRNA from 1 species